rnacentral:pre_miRNA from 1 species
GCGGCUCGCCGGAUCUGGCGGCGGAGCUUGGGCUCGCCGAUCCAGGCGAGCUCGAGCUCUAUCGCCAGAUUCGGCGAGCUCG